UAAUACGUAGGGUGCGAGCGUUAAUCGGAAUUACUGGGCGUAAAGCGUACGCAGGCGGCUGCGCAAGACAGAUGUGAAAUCCCCGGGCUUAACCUGGGAACUGCAUUUGUGACUGCGCAGCUAGAGUUUGUCAGAGGGGGGUGGAAUUCCACGUGUAGCAGUGAAAUGCGUAGAGAUGUGGAGGAACACCGAUGGCGAAGGCAGCCCCCUGGGACCUGACUGACGCUCAUGUACGAAAGCGUGGGGAGCAAACAGGAUUAGAUACCCUGGUAGUCCACGCCCUAAACGAUGUCGACUAGUUGUCGGAGGCUUGCGCCUUCGGUAACGCAGCUAACGCGUGAAGUCGACCGCCUGGGGAGUACGGUCGCAAGAUUA
rnacentral:rRNA from 1 species